AGGUUGUCACACUCCAGUACAGUAGGUGGCGGUGUAUGCAAUUGUCAGUUCAUUGCGAUUCGCCAAUAAAACUUAUGAUGAAAAAGAAAGGCAACGCAACUACUGUAGUACGUUUUGAGUUGGCCUGCCUACUUGCAAUAUCCUGGAAACUGCCGUUAGAAACUGAUUUUUUCCCCCCUUGCUAUAUAUAAGACAGGCUACAUUGUAGCCAAUGCGUUUCUGUCCGUAGAGUGGCCAGUUUAGAUUGUUGUAGCAUAUGGUUUUGCAGUGAAACUAUAUUCAACUAAAUUUAAAGACGUUGGAUUUUUUUUAUUUUAUUGUAAUUGUUUGACUUUACAUAAAGGCGUCUGAAAAAAUGAAAGUGUCUUUCGUCGUGUGUGUGCUGAGCACCGUGGUCGUUUCUUGUUCGGGAGAAAAUAGUCGCUUCGAGAAGUCAUUCAACUAUUCCCCGGGAAUGAUGCAAGUCCUCCGGGAGACGCUCACGGAUUUGUCCGAGGAGGCGCACGGUUACCUGGUUCACCUUGUCGGGGCAAGGUCCGUUGAAACUGCACAGAAGUGUUUCUUUCAGGUGGUCAAGUAUAUAGCUGAGGCAGCGGCCAGUGGAGCGAAUGUGGUUAUGAAGUACCUCGCCCAGUUCCUGAUGGCAGCAGGAGUUGAUGACACACAACACAAAACCGGAUGAAAGUCUGACCUGCCAAGGGAGCCCUUUACCCACUGACAGACAUGCCCUGGAUUAGUUGAAAUGCCUGUUAACAGUAUCACCCCAGAUGCUGUGGUCUAUAUCGGUCAGUGGCUUCUGCUGGCUCUCAUUGGCUACUGGCUGCUGUCCCUGGCCUUCCGAUUGGUGGCGUCCACUCUGAGGCGGGUCCUGUGGCUACUGAAGCUGGGUGUGGUUUUAGGACUGUUUUGCCUGAUCCUAAGUGACCGCAGUGCUGGAACAGAGACUACGGCGCUGCGAUUGGCCGGCCUGGUGAGCGUCUGCGUCCUAUUGGGUAUCGGGCAUUCUGGAACCGGGGGCGACAAAACCUACCUGGAGGAUCAAGUGAGGGUGCUAGAGAGACGAGUGAGAGAAAUGGAGAGGAGGAAAGAGAAGUGAGGGGUGGAUGGAUGGGAACUGAAAGGCCUUGUUUUGUACAUUAAUCUAGGUCUAGGAUCGUAACAAGGACGUUGUACAAAGUUUUGUUAAAAAAAUUAAUAAUUGGUAUCGUUUUGCAUAAUGAAGCACUUUGCCUUUUUCAUAAACA